GCAGUGGUAGUUCAGUGGUAGAAUUCUCACCUUCCAUGCGGAAGGCCCAGGUUUGAUUCCCAGCCAAUGCA
rnacentral:tRNA from 1 species